rnacentral:rRNA from 1 species
GACGAACGCUGGCGGCGUGCUUAACACAUGCAAGUCGAACGGAAAGGCCCUGCUUUUGUGGGGUGCUCGAGUGGCGAACGGGUGAGUAACACGUGAGUAACCUGCCCUUGACUUUGGGAUAACUUCAGGAAACUGGGGCUAAUACCGGAUAGGAGCUCCUGCUGCAUGGUGUGGGUUGGAAAGUUUCGGCGGUUGGGGAUGGACUCGCGGCUUAUCAGCUUGUUGGUGUGGUAGUGGCUUACCAAGGCUGUGACGGGUAGCCGGCCUGAGAGGGUGACCGGCCACAUGGGGACUGAGAUACGGCCCAGACUCGUACGGGAGGCAGCAGUGGGGAAUAUUGCACAGUGGGCGGAAGCCAGAUGCAGCAACGCCGCGUGCGGGAUGACGGCCUUCGGGUUGUAAACCGCUUUCGCCUGUGACGAAGCGGGAGUGACGGUAAUGGGUAAAGAAGCACCGGCUAACUACGUG